UACGUAGGGUGCAAGCGUUGUCCGGAAUUAUUGGGCGUAAAGAGCUCGUAGGCGGUCUGUCGCGUCUGCUGUGAAAACCUAGGGCUUAACUCUGGGCGUGCAGUGGGUACGGGCAGGCUAGAGUGCGGUAGGGGAGACUGGAAUUCCUGGUGUAGCGGUGAAAUGCGCAGAUAUCAGGAGGAACACCGGUGGCGAAGGCGGUUCUCUGGGCAUUACCUGACGCUGAGGAGCGAAAGUGUGGGGAGCGAACAGG
rnacentral:rRNA from 1 species